GCUUGUCUCAAAGAUUAAGCCAUGCAUGUCUAAGUAUAAACUAUUUUAUACUGUGAAACUGCGAAUGGCUCAUUAAAUCAGUUAUAGUCUACUCGAUAGUACCUUACUACUUGGAUACCCGUAGUAAUUCUAGAGCUAAUACAUGCGCAAAUACCCAACUGCUUGUCGGGCGGGUAGCAUUUAUUAGAUUGAAACCAAUGCAGCUUCGGCUGGUAUUGUGUUGAGUCAUAAUAACUGUGCGGAUCGCAUUUUAUGCGAUAAAUCGAUUGAGUUUCUGCCCUAUCAGCUUUGGAUGGUAGGAUAUGGGCCUACCAUGGCAUUAACGGGUAACGGGGAAUUAGGGUUUGAUUCCGGAGAGGGAGCCUUAGAAACGGCUACCACAUCCAAGGAAGGCAGCAGG
rnacentral:rRNA from 1 species